rnacentral:rRNA from 1 species
CACUAUGCCUAGCCAUAAACAUAGAUAACUAAGUACUUAUUUAUCCGCCCGGGAACUACGAGCGACAGCUUAAAACCCAAAGGACUUGGCGGUGCUUUAGAUCCACCUAGAGGAGCCUGUUCUGGAACCGAUAAUCCCCGUUAAACCUCACCUUUCCUUGUUCUUUUCCGCCUAUAUACCGCCGUCGUCAGCUUACUCUGUGAAGAAUAAGCAGUAAGCGCAACCGGCAAAGCCCAAAACGCCAGGUCGAGGUGUAGCGAAUGGAGAGGGAAGAAAUGGGCUACAUUCAAUAACAAUAAUGCACACGGAAGGUGCUCUGAAACAGGCACCUGAAGGAGGAUUUAGAAGUAAGCCGGGAGCAGAGUGCCCUGCUGAAACUGGCCCUGAAGCGCGUACACACCGCCCGUCACUCUCCCCGAAAAAAAUUAAACCAUUUUUAAUAAGCCAAUAAACAUAGAGGGGAGGCAAGUCGUAA